AUGGGACCAGAGACAAGGGUGUGAAGGAGACCCCAGUUGGGGUAGGACAUUGCAGGUCAAGAAGGGGAAGAAGAGGACAAGAAGUCAAGGGCCGGGCUGUGGAGGAGAAUAAAGGAGGUCAAUGAGAGGUCACAUCUUCGUACCUCACUUCCUGACACAAACAAGUUUUCACUGUUGUCAGCAACAAAGCCCUGAUGUAGAGGCGGAAGAGAAAAAACUGCAUCGCAUUUUGUCUCCUGCAAGCAUCAUCCACAGCUACCAGAGGAAUGUAAUUCCAGAAAAGUUUCAAAGCGGGCGGUGAUGGUAAUUAUGUCUCAAAUGGCUGAGUCUAUGUGUCAGUAUUGUUUUGUCAUUUCUGUUGUCUACCCAAGAGCUAGCUGCCUGAACUCGCAGAGGGACAAAUCCGGUUUUUCUUUUUUGACUUGGUAAAAUUGAAUCAGACCUGACAGAGAAGUCAUUGCUCUUGGGGAAAAGAAAGUAGGAGCCACGAAAUGUCAUUUUAACAGAGCGUGGGUUUGGUGACUGUGGGAAAGGACUUAAGGACGCGCCUUCUGUUCGGGUUCCUAUGUAAUGAGCAAAGGCUACACGCACGCACAGACGCCACGGCUCCCGGAUGCUGCGACUCGCUGAUCGGGGUUUCGGUAGCGCCGGGAGCCCCUCCGGGGAUGCUGCGAAGGACUCUCGGCGGGUGGUGGUGAGAAAGCUGCGGCCGACGCCGCCAGUCCUGCUGUUGUUGCUGCAGUCACGUGGGAGCCCCUUUAAGUUUCCAUAGAGAGGCCUCUCCGGUGUCACAUGAUGGACAUGAUAUAAUGAAACAACAUUGUGGAGAGGAAAGCAUUAGGGGAGCCCACGGCUACGAAAACAAGUGAGUGAGAAGAGGUGGGAGGAAGAGAAACUACGCCACCUCCCUUGCAGCGGAGCCGGCGAGGAGAAGGGGGCCACACCAGGGGGGGGUGAGGGGGGGCAGGGAGACCCCGUCCUCAGCUCCGGCCGGGGGACCCCGCGGCCCACCGCGGAGAGAACAACUUUUAGCCGGCAGCCUCGGCCAGCCCUGCACCUGUCUGCGGAGCCUCCAUCGCUCCCUGUGAUCAUCAAAGGGAAAUUCUAGAAGAAUAUGCUCUACAAAUAUCCAUGCGCAUCGUUUUCCCCCGUACGUCUCGCUCCGGAGGAAGGGAAGAGAAAGGGAUUUUAGCAGCGGCGUGUGUUCAGCGGUAAGCACCACCAAGCCUCCCUGCAGUGGUACUUCUACUCAGGUCUUGGAUCCAGGGAUGAAGUAAGAUUUUACCGCACUUGUUUCCUGGGAAUCGUUUAACUGCAUUUUAUUAAUGCUUUCCAGAGUCAGAAUAGUUGGGAUAUUUUACCAUCUGGAGUUUCUCUGCCUCGCUGAUCGAAACUCAAACUUUGCUAGUUUAUGGGAAAUGAUAGACAACACCCUGUAACAGCUGAGAGAAAAAAGGAAGAAACAGAAGUACUUUUCAUGGAACAGAGUAAACCACUGCACAGGACACGCCUGGCCUGUGCUUGGGGAUCCUUUGUAUGACCGCUCAGGG